AUUGAACGCUGGCGGCAGGCCUAACACAUGCAAGUCGAACGAGUGGCGGACGGGUGAGUAAUGUCUGGGAAACUGCCUGAUGGAGGGGGAUAACUACUGGAAACGGUAGCUAAUACAGCAUACCAUCGGAUGUGCCCAGAUGGGCUUAGCGAGUAGGUGGGGUAACGGCUACCCUAGGCGACGAUCCCUAGCUGGUCUGAGAGGAUGACCAGCCAAUCUGGAACGGAGACACGGGUCAGACGCCUACGUGAGGCAGCAGUGGGGAAGAUUGCACAAUGGGCGCAAGCCUGAUGCAGCCAUGCCGCGUGUAUGAAGAAGGCCUUCGGGUUGUAAAGUACUUUCAGCGGGGAGGCGUUACCCGCAGAAGAAGCACCGGCUAACUCCGUGCCAGCAGCCGCGGUAAUAC
rnacentral:rRNA from 1 species